UACGUAGGGUGCGAGCGUUAAUCGGAAUUACUGGGCGUAAAGCGUGCGCAGGCGGUUCGUUAAGUCCGAUGUGAAAGCCCCGAGCUUAACUUGGGAAUGGCAUUGGAAACUGGCGGGCUGGAGUGUGGCAGAGGGGGGUGGAAUUCCACGUGUAGCAGUGAAAUGCGUAGAGAUGUGGAGGAACACCGAUGGCGAAGGCAGCCCCCUGGGCUGACACUGACGCUCAGGCACGAAAGCGUGGGGAGCAAACAGG
rnacentral:rRNA from 1 species